rnacentral:lncRNA from 1 species
CCGGGCACCCCUUCCCCUACCAGGCAGAAGAAAGGUUUUAACAAGGGGAAGGGGCAGUCCGCACAAGCAGCAGAGGACCUGAGUGGGGCAGAAGGGCAGGGCAGUCAGGACCAGGCCAAGCCCCCUCACCCUCCACCAGCUCAAAGGGACUCCACCCAUGAAGCCGAACUCGGCUCAUGGAGGGCCAAGCACACGGUCCGGAAGAGAUACCAGCAACACAAACAAGGGGCCACCACACCCGGUACAUGGGCUGCUCCAGCCACGGACAGGGACCCCACCACGGCAGAGGCUGAUGGAGGUGCAAUUGGGGGCUUUGGCCUCAGCCCCUUCAUCUGGCCACCCCCAAACGCCCACCCUCUGUGCUCUGAGCUAAGAAUGCCGACCGGCCGCCAGGCCACAUGGGGCCUGGAGCAGCCUUCCCCAGGGCCGCCCCUGCCAGAAGGAGCCAGUGCAGGCGAGGAAGAGCUGCUGCACACACAGGUAGUGUCCCCCACCCAGAGGGGAGGCCGCAGGGUCCAGUCCGUCCUCGGAAUCAUUUACAGCGCUUCAGGGGAGCCCCAGGAAGGCAGCACCUCGAGCCCCUGUGCAAGUCAGGCCAGGAGACCCAAAGGUCCUGGGAGCGCAGCGCCAACCUACAGGCAGUUUCCUCCCCCUGCAGCCUGGAUGGGCUAUGGGGGCAAGGAGAGCGAGGACAGAGAAGAGCCCCAGAGCCACUGGAGACCUGGAGACGGCAUGCAGAGAACAGGGACUGGGCUGGCGAACCACCACUCAGCAGCUGCCAAGGCCAGCUCCAGCCCCAAACCCUGCCAACUUGGGCAGCCGGCCUGGGAGCAGGCCUGAGCAGCCCGUCCCAGCCUAGGUUUAGGCCAACCGCUGCUUGUUCUUGUGGAGAUGUGUGUGUUCUUGUCUGAGCAGUUACCCCCGCUGACCACCCCACCCCAGAGACCCCGAGCCCAGUCCCAGGAGACUGCAGGAAACACGAAUGAGGGCAUGGCCGGUGCUCACCUGUGACCUCAGGAAGGAAGAACUGCACCGGGGCCAGAGGGGGACUGUGUCUCACCCUGUUGUUCCUUAUGACUCAGUUUCCUCGGCCUGGUGGAGUGUCCCCUGCUGUGUUUUCCAGCAUCCUAUGACUGUCCUGUCCAGACCAUAGGGCAGGGCCAGACCCCAGCAUGUGGGCCAGAGGGGGAGGGGUGCCCUGCCGUGAGUGGACAUCGCCAGCGUCCAUCAUCCUGCAAAAGUCCAUUGUGGGGCCAUCAGGAUGGGGGACUAUGGCAGGAGGGUCUUGGUGUGUGGGGGGGUUGGCAGCUGAUGCACCUCGUCAGGGACCCCAAGGAGGCGGGGGCAGGGGUCUGGAGACCUAUGGGCUCUAGUGGACAUUAGAAGUUCCUCUCUGUGGUUUUAUUCCCUUUCUUCAAUGGUUUCAGUUAAAUGUUUAUCUUCAAUAAAUGGUUUCAGCUGUGUCUCGC